UACGUAGGGGGCAAGCGUUGUCCGGAUUUAUUGGGCGUAAAGAGCGUGUAGGCGGCCAGGUAGGUCGGUUGUGAAAACUGGAGGCUCAACCUUCAGAGGUCGACCGAAACCAUCUGGCUAGAGUCCGGGAGAGGAGAGUGGAAUUCCUGGUGUAGCGGUGAAAUGCGCAGAUAUCAGGAGGAACACCGGCGGCGAAGGCGGGUCUCUGGGCCAUAACUGACGCUGAGGAGCGAAAGCGUGGGGAGCGAACAGG
rnacentral:rRNA from 1 species